GAGAGUUAAAUAGUACGUGAAAUUGUUGAAAGGGAAACGAUUGAAGUCAGUCAUGCUAGUGAAAAAUCAGUUUGACGGGUUUUGAGUUCAGGAGUAGAGGCAGGGUCAAACCGUUUCUCUUUUGAACUUGGGAUUUGUUAGAUGUACUUUUUCUUUGGCAGGUCAGCGUCGAUUUCGGAGGUUGUAAAAUACUUGGGGGAAAGUAACUCUGCUUCGGGAGAGUAUUAUAGACCCUGGGGGGAUGCAGCCUGCGGGAUCGAGGAUUGCAGCAAAUGCCUUUGGCUUGUCGCCUGAUCUCUGGAUGUUACCUCGCUUGUGACAACAUUCUUGCCACCUGUGGGUACUAAUGCCCAUUAGGUUAGAGCGAUCAAAAAUUUGCUAAGGAUGCUGACGUAAUGGCUUUAAACGA
rnacentral:rRNA from 1 species